GCCUACGGGGGGCAGCAGUGAGGAAUAUUGGUCAAUGGUCGGGAGACUGAACCAGCCAAGCCGCGUGGGGGAUGAAGGUACAGAGUAUCGUAAACCUCUUUUGUCAGGGAACAAAGGCGGGGACGCGUCCCCGGAUGAGUGUACCUGAAGAAAAAGCAUCGGCUAACUCCGUGCCAGCAGCCGCGGUAAUACGGAGGAUGCGAGCGUUAUCCGGAUUUAUUGGGUUUAAAGGGUGCGCAGGCGGUCUGUUAAGUCAGCGGUCAAAGCCCGGGGCUCCACCCCGGCCCGCCGUUGAAACUGGCAGU
rnacentral:rRNA from 1 species